rnacentral:rRNA from 1 species
AGUGAACGCUGGCGGUAGGCCUAACACAUGCAAGUCGAACGGCAGCACAGUAAGAGCUUGCUCUUACGGGUGGCGAGUGGCGGACGGGUGAGGAAUACAUCGGAAUCUACUUUUUCGUGGGGGAUAACGUAGGGAAACUUACGCUAAUACCGCAUACGACCUACGGGUGAAAGCAGGGGAUCUUCGGACCUUGCGCGAUUGAAUGAGCCGAUGUCGGAUUAGCUAGUUGGCGGGGUAAAGGCCCACCAAGGCGACGAUCCGUAACUGGUCUGAGAGGAUGAUCAGCCACACUGGAACUGAGACACGGUCCAGACUCCUACGGGAGGCAGCAGUGGGGAAUAUUGGACAAUGGGCGCAAGCCUGAUCCAGCCAUACCGCGUGGGUGAAGAAGGCCUUCGGGUUGUAAAGCCCUUUUGUUGGGAAAGAAAAGCAGCAGGUUAAUACCCCGCUGCUCUGACGGUACCCAAAGAAUAAGCACCGGCUAACUUCGUG